GUUAAGUGGGUAACAACCAUUUUUAUCCAAUCCAUAUUUGACCAAAUUCAUAUUUACCCAUAAUUAUAUGGGUGAAUUGCAUCGAAUCCAUUAAAAGCUCAAUCUAUAUUCAAUCCACCCAAAUUCGAUCCGAUCCGCCCAUUUGCCAUCCCUAAUCACAACUACGCUAGUAUGCUUUAUGGUUUUAGCCAACUGAUCUGCCCUUUUUUUGCUUUAAGAUGUACUUCUCAUUUACAUUAGGUUCAUCAUUUUUUUUAACUGCUGAAUGACAUAGUAAAAUCUUUUGAUGGAUUACGAAAGAAAUUAUCUUCAUUUUUAUAUGGAAGGAUAUUUGCUUCAUCAAUUUCAUAUGCCAAAAUCAGCAAUAUACUCUAUGAGGCAGCAAUAACUAAAAGAAUAAGAGAAUGGUGAAAGGUAGAAAUAAUGAUGCAGUCCAGG
rnacentral:lncRNA from 1 species